GUAGAAAUAUAUAUUUCGUAUAACCUCAAUAAUAUGGCUUGAGGGUGUCUACCAGAAACCAAUAAUUUCUGAUUACGAAGAAUGCUUACU
rnacentral:ncRNA from 1 species